rnacentral:tRNA from 1 species
AGGGAUAUAACUCAGAGGUAGAGUACCUGCCUAUCAUGUAUGAGGCCCUAGAUUCUAUCCCUA